rnacentral:rRNA from 1 species
GAUGAACGCUGGCGGCGUGCCUAAUACAUGCAAGUCGAGCGAACAGACGAGGAGCUUGCUCCUCUGAUGUUAGCGGCGGACGGGUGAGUAACACGUGGAUAACCUACCUAUAAGACUGGGAUAACUUCGGGAAACCGGAGCUAAUACCGGAUAACAUGUUGAACCGCAUGGUUCAACAGUGAAAGACGGUCUUGCUGUCACUUAUAGAUGGAUCCGCGCCGCAUUAGCUAGUUGGUAAGGUAACGGCUUACCAAGGCAACGAUGCGUAGCCGACCUGAGAGGGUGAUCGGCCACACUGGAACUGAGACACGGUCCAGACUCCUACGGGAGGCAGCAGUAGGGAAUCUUCCGCAAUGGGCGAAAGCCUGAGGGAGCAACGCCGCGUGAGUGAAGAAGGUCUUCGGAUCGUAAAACUCUGUUAUUAGGGAAGAACAAAUGUGUAAGUAACUAUGCACGUCUUGACGGUACCUAAUCAGAAAGCCACGGCUAACUACGUG